CUCCCCUGGCCCCGCUGUCAGGGAGUCCGCUGAGGAGGACUCGGCUGCAGCCUGGAGGAGUCGUGGGGAGCCUGCCGGCCGCAGAGAGGUCACGGAACCCAAGGUCCCUCGGCAAACCUCUCUUAUCUCCUGCUUGUCUUCCUCCUCACCGCGGCCUCCCUGGUCCAAGAUUAGGAUGCACGUCGUCCGCUCACUGCGGUCCAACGGAGGGGGUUUUUCCACCAGCUUCAGCUGGGGAAGCGUCAUUCCUCUUGCUGGUCUCCCUGCAGCGGCCUCACUGGGAAAGGCUGGAAGAAGCGCGCCAGUGGUAAUAUCCCGAGCAUUGCCUAGACUCAAUGUUAGUGCCGGUGCCGGGGGAGCCGUCCUGGCUGCGGGCUGCCCGAAGGCAGUGGAAUGAAGAAACUUAGAAACGUCUCUUAUUAAAGAGAGUGGAGCAUCAUUCAUGAUGCACAGAACCUUUUGAGAAGCUUUGCUCAUUUAUCACUAACAGGCUAUAAGUAAGCUUCUUUAAAGGGUAUAUUUAGCGGGAAAGACACAACCUGCUGCAACCAGAGAAUGAAAUAGAGCUUGAUUUCUCUUUCAUUAAUCUCGCAUGUCAUGAAAUAUUCUUAUAAGAAGCACAAUGUAAAUUGCGUAUGUGUGUAGACAUCAAACCAUCUCAAUGAACUGUGACAACUUGCUAUUGGAAUAAUGUUCUUCAAAUCAACUAAAUUAUGAUUUUCAAACAAAACAUACCAUCAGCCCAAAUCUGAACUUUUCACUGACCGUGUUUGGUUAAAAGGAGAUCAUUCUCUCAUGAAACACCGUAACACUUUAUUCCAACCACUGUACAGCAAGACAGCCUGUAAUUGUACCUUCUUAAAAGUCAUAUAUAACAGAGCAGAGGGUAAGAAGCCACAUGGUAUGGAACACUUGACUUCUCUACCUCGAGGAGAUGGGAUUCGUUUUUUGAGAACUGAGGGGCCUCAGCGUUCAGAGGUGUCAGAGGUAACUGGAGAUGGGUUAGGAGAUGGUUUUCCAUGUGGUAGAAAACACAUUUGUAUUCUGCAUAGGGCUUUUACUCUGUAAUUUCCUUUUGAAUCACGAGAAAAGAGAAAAGAAGUGUUUAAAUGCUUGAACAUUUGGUUAAAGCAGCCUAUAUUGUAGUCCCAGCAUUGACUGCAACAGGUUACAGCUGCUGGUGAUAAUUAGAUUGCCCCUGUGAUUUUUUUUUUUCUUGUUACUCUUUCUAAAUGUUUAUAUAAAUGCUGGAAAAUCU